UGGGGAAUUUUGCACAAUGGGGGAAACCCUGAUGCAGCGACGCCGCGUGAUUUAGAAGGCCUUCGGGUUGUAAAAAUCUUUUCUAUGGGAAGAAAAUGACAGUACCAUAGGAAUAAGGACCGGCUAAUUACGUGCCAGCAGCCGCGGUAAUACGUAAGGUCCGAGCGUUGUCCGGAAUCAUUGGGCGUAAAGGGUACGUAGGCGGGUAAGCAAGUUAGAAGUGAAAUCCUAUAGCUCAACUAUAGUAAGCUUUUAAAACUGCUCAACUUGAGGUAUGGAAGGGAAAGUGGAAUUCCUAGUGUAGCGGUGAAAUGCGGAGAUAUUAGGAGGAAUACCGGUGGCGAAGGCGACUUUCUGGCCAUAACCUGACGCUGAGGUACGAAAGAGUGGGUAGCAAACAGG
rnacentral:rRNA from 1 species